rnacentral:rRNA from 1 species
GCGACGAUACAUAGCCGACCUGAGAGGGUGAUCGGCCACACUGGGACUGAGACACGGCCCAGACUCCUACGGGAGGCAGCAGUAGGGAAUCUUCGGCAAUGGACGGAAGUCUGACCGAGCAACGCCGCGUGAGUGAAGAAGGUUUUCGGAUCGUAAAGCUCUGUUGUAAGAGAAGAACGAGUGUGAGAGUGGAAAGUUCACACUGUGACGGUAUCUUACCAGAAAGGGACGGCUAACUACGUGCCAGCAGCCGCGGUAAUACGUAGGUCCCGAGCGUUGUCCGGAUUUAUUGGGCGUAAAGCGAGCGCAGGCGGUUAGAUAAGUCUGAAGUUAAAGGCUGUGGCUUAACCAUAGUACGCUUUGGAAACUGUUUAACUUGAGUGCAAGAGGGGAGAGUGGAAUUCCAUGUGUAGCGGUGAAAUGCGUAGAUAUAUGGAGGAACACCGGUGGCGAAAGCGGCUCUCUGGC